CCAGAGAACUUAGCAGAGAUGCUUUGGUGCCUUCGGGAACUCUGAGACAGGUGCUGCAUGGCUGUCGUCAGCUCGUGUUGUGAAAUGUUGGGUUAAGUCCCCGCAACGAGCGCAACCCCUAUCCUUUGUUGCCAGCGAUUCGGUCGGGAACUCAAAGGAGACUGCCGGUGAUAAACCGGAGGAAGGUGGGGAUGACGUCAAGUCAUCAUGGCCCUUACGAGUAGGGCUACACACGUGCUACAAUGGCGCAUACAAAGAGAAGCGACCUCGCGAGAGCAAGCGGACCUCAUAAAGUGCGUCGUAGUCCGGAUUGGAGUCUGCAACUCGACUCCAUGAAGUCGGAAUCGCUAGUAAUCGUAGAUCAGAAUGCUACGGUGAAUACGUUCCCGGGCCUUGUACACACCGCCCGUCACACCAUGGGAGUGGGUUGCAAAAGAAGUAGAUAGCUUAACCUUCGGGAGGGCGUUUACCACUUUGUGAUUCAUGACUGGGGUGAAGUCGUAACAAGGUAAGCGUAGCGAG
rnacentral:rRNA from 1 species